GACGAAGGGGCUAGCGUUGUCCGGAAUCACUGGGCGUAAAGGGCGCGUAGGUGGCGCGGGAAGUCAACGGUGAAAGUUCGGGCUCAACCCUGAAUCGGCCGUCGAUACUCCCGGGCUCGAGCACUGUAGAGGCAGAUGGAAUCCGGGUGUAGCGGUGGAAUGCGUAGAGAUCCGGAAGAACACCGGUGGCGAAGGCGGUCUGCGUGGGC
rnacentral:rRNA from 1 species